rnacentral:rRNA from 1 species
UACGGAGGGUGCAAGCGUUGUUCGGAAUCACUGGGCGUAAAGGGCGUGUAGGCGGUCCGCUAAGUCUGAUGUGAAAGCCCGGGGCUCACCCCCCGGAAGGGCAUUGGAAACUGGCGGACUCGAGUCUCGGAGAGGAAGGUGGAAUUCCUGGUGUAGCGGUGAAAUGCGCAGAUAUCAGGAGGAACACCGGUGGCGAAGGCGGGACUCUGGGCCGAUACUGACGCUGGAGGAGCGAAAGCGUGGGGAGCAAACAGG